GAUGAACGCUGGCGGCGUGCCUAAUACAUGCAAGUCGAGCGAACAGACGAGGAGCUUGCUCCUUCGACGUUAGCGGCGGACGGGUGAGUAACACGUAGGUAACCUACCUAUAAGACUGGGAUAACUUCGGGAAACCGGAGCUAAUACCGGAUAAUAUUUCGAACCGCAUGGUUCGAUAGUGAAAGAUGGCUUUGCUAUCACUUAUAGAUGGACCUGCGCCGUAUUAGCUAGUUGGUAAGGUAACGGCUUACCAAGGCAACGAUACGUAGCCGACCUGAGAGGGUGAUCGGCCACACUGGAACUGAGACACGGUCCAGACUCCUACGGGAGGCAGCAGUAGGGAAUCUUCCGCAAUGGGCGAAAGCCUGACGGAGCAACGCCGCAUGAGUGAUGAAGGUCUUCGGAUCGUAAAACUCUGUUAUUAGGGAAGAACAAACGUGUAAGUAACUGUGCACGUCUUGACGGUACCUAAUCAGAAAGCCACGGCUAACUACGUG
rnacentral:rRNA from 1 species